CCUACGGGAGGCAGCAGUGGGGAAUAUUGGACAAUGGGCAAAAGCCUGAUCCAGCCAUGCCGCGUGUGUGAAGAAGGCCUUCGGGUUGUAAAGCACUUUCAGUGGGGAAGAAAGCCUUGGGGCUAAUACCCUCGAGGAAGGACAUCACCCACAGAAGAAGCACCGGCUAACUCCGUGCCAGCAGCCGCGGUAAUACGGAGGGUGCGAGCGUUAAUCGGAAUUACUGGGCGUAAAGCGCGCGUAGGCGGUCUGAUAAGCCGGUUGUGAAAGCCCCGGGCUCAACCUGGGAACGGCAUCCGGAACUGUCAGGCUAGAGUGCAGGAGAGGAAGGUAGAAUUCCCGGUGUAGCGGUGAAAUGCGUAGAGAUCGGGAGGAAUACCAGUGGCGAAGGCGGCCUUCUGGACUGACACUGACGCUGAGGUGCGAAAGCGUGGGUAGCAAACAGGAUUAGAUACCCCUGUAGUC
rnacentral:rRNA from 1 species